rnacentral:rRNA from 1 species
UACGUAGGGUGCGAGCGUUAAUCGGAAUUACUGGGCGUAAAGCGUGCGUAGGCGGUUUCAUAAGCUUGAUGUGAAAGCCCCCGGGCUCAACCUGGGAAUGGCAUUGAGGACUGUGGAGCUAGAGUGCGGCAGAGGGAGGUGGAAUUCCACGUGUAGCAGUGAAAUGCGUAGAGAUGUGGAGGAACACCGAUGGCGAAGGCGGCGUCCUGGGACCCAACACUGACA